rnacentral:rRNA from 1 species
UCGGGAAUUUUGGGCAAUGGGCGAAAGCCUGACCCAGCAACGCCGCGUGAGGGAUGAAGUAUUUCGGUAUGUAAACCUCGAAAGAAUGGGAAGAAUAAAUGACGGUACCAUUUAUAAGCUCCGGCUAACUACGUGCCAGCAGCCGCGGUAAUACGUAGGGAGCAAGCGUUGUUCGGAUUUACUGGGCGUAAAGGGCGCGUAGGCGGCGCGGUAAGUCACUUGUGAAAUCUCUGAGCUUAACUCAGAACGGCCAAGUGAGACUGCUGUGCUAGAGUGCGGAAGAGGCAACCGGAAUUCUUGGUGUAGCGGUGAAAUGCGUAGAUAUCAAGAGGAACACCUGAGGCGAAGGCGGGUUGCUGGGCCGACACUGACGCUGAUGCGCGAAAGCCAGGGGAGCAAACG